UAGACACGUGAUGCUUGUUCUGUUGUUCUGGGCCCUUUACGGUGUCAGCUCCGUGGAAGCAGACUUCUGGUCUCCCCUGGCUCCCAUGCCACCCAGAGGGCCUGGCACACGAUGUUUUUAAUGCGCUACUGUGAAUGAAUACUGACCUCGGAGAUCAGCAUGGUGAAUGAACCCGGGCGUAAAACAAAUUGGGGUGAAGUUCUCCCCUGUGCCCGCUUCUCUGCGUGUCCUCGGAGCAGUUAUUUAAUCUUCCCGAAUCUCUGUGUCCUCAUCGAUAAAAUGGGGUGAAGUUUAUGUCUACUUUAAAAAGCUGUAUUAAAUGAGAUAACAUGCAUCCAGGGACUUAGCACUGAGAUUGGCAAAUAUCCUGAGCUCGUCCCUCAGAAUGUCCACUGGAGCCUAAUGCCUUCGGCCCGUAAGCCCGCAGCACAAAGAUCGCAAAGCCAAGUUGCUGAACAAACCCGUUUCUAAAUUACAAGUGCUCCUCGGUGCCAAGAAAGGAAUUCACGGGGCAGCGUUUGCCAAGAAAUCAUUUAUCAGAUCAGAAGUCGAUGUCACUGGUUCCCCAGCAUCAAAAUUCACCUCCAAACCACAAAGCUGGAGAGCAUUUUCUUUGUAACUGGUCUGACACUCUCCCAGCCUUCAUAUGUAAAGAGAGCUCAUAGAUGAGUUUUUUUUAAGGCAACGCCCGUAAAAAGAAACAGGGGAGGCUAAUAAAUGAACGCACUGUAAUGCUCAGCUCGUUAGUAAGGCAAUUAUA